GAAACUUAUUCAGUUAAAAAUCUUUAAUUUACAGAUGAUUAUUCAGAAACUGUCGAGUGAAGAGACGUCUCUCUGUCCAAUCACAGCUCAGUAUUUCCUCUGUCAGCAGAUGAAGUUUCUCUGUCUGUUCUUUGUCUUCGCAGCAGAAAUGUCAUGACUCUGGUCUUUUUGCUUCUUUUAUGAGAAAGAUUUUGUCAUCAGUUCAGUCCGGAUUUAAGUUUCUGUGCUUGCCUCGGUCUUCGUCGGCUCGUUGUUCGAUGUCUCCCUCAUUCCCUCAACAUUUUCCACCUGCUCCUUUAACCAUCACAAGGAAAGUGAACAGAGACGUUUUGGCUGAAUUCAGCUGAGGCGCAGAGUUUCCACCAAUCAGAGCGAGGCCGGAUCCAUUGCAGAGACCAGCUUCCAUAGAAGGAGUGGCUCCCUCUCUGGUGGACGGGGAUUAUUUCGGGGGUUGUGAUUUAUCUUUGAAUGUCUCUGUUACUCGGCCUCAGUCUCUAAAAACAGCAGAAUCAGAGUUAUGAGUGAUUCAUGAACCACAGAGAUAAAAAUGGCAGCGUGUCCCUUUAAAUUUCACAUUCCUGGAAUCACAGCUGUGACCGGAGGAGACGACUCAACAACGUUCAUUCAUGACGACGAACAUUCACUGUUUGAUUCUGACAGUUUAUUAUGGAGCAGAGGCUCAACAAUCAUAAACUGUUUUCAGAUGAAAGUUUCACUU